UGUAACCAAAGAAGCAUAAUUAUUCCACGUCUAACUUUGACCCUUGAUUUUUAAUCAACGAGGCUGUGUGGUUUCAAAUGUAGACACGGUUUGUCAGUUCAGUACAUGACGAAAGAUAUAAACAGAUCCCGGGAGGUUACGCGCUUUUGGUGUGUAUAAAUAAUUCGCAUGUUUAAAAGUGGUCGAUUUCGCACUUCGGACCAGGCAAAAGCACUCAAAAUUAAGCGCGUAUAAAAAAUGAUUAUCUUAGGAGGAAAGUAUAAUCAUUAAGCUUUAAAUUGAUAUAUAGUUUGUUGGCAUUUGCUUUAAUCCAACGCGAGCGAUUUUGCCGGGACGAUCGGGGUAAUUACCGCUUGGGUCUACGGUCCGAAACGAUGUCAACGAAUAAAAGUUGUGCUCAAGACAGUUGUGCCCAGCUGCGCGUGCGCAGCAGAUCGGAGAAAUGUUUAUGCUCUAUUGAUAAAUUACGUAUGUGUAUCAAACACAUGGCACAAAAUUUAAAAGAACAAUAUAGCAAAUGCAUAAAAAAUGAUAUGUUUCAUAGAAUAAUCUGCAUAAAUCCUAGCGAUACUUCGGCAAGAAAUAAUGAGAAUCAUAAGAAAAGAAAUAUUCCUAUUGAAACCUCAAACAGAGUCGAAGUCCACCCGCACCUGUGUGCCUAAGGACAUUGUUAGACUCCUCGUCUAGAAGGACCGUAAAUGGCGACCCGCACCUGUGUGCCUAAGGACAUUGUUAGACUCCUCGUCUAGAAGGACCGUAAAUGGCGACCCGCACCUGUGUGCCUAAGGACAUUGUUAGACUCCUCGUCUAGAAGGACCGUAAAUGGCGACCCGCACCUGUGUGCCUAAGGACAUUGUUAGACUCCUCGUCUAGAAGGACCGUAAAUGGCGACCCGCACCUGUGUGCCUAAGGACAUUGUUAGACUCCUCGUCUAGAAGGACCGUAAAUGGCGACCCGCACCUGUGUGCCUAAGGACAUUGUUAGACUCCUCGUCUAGAAGGACCGUAAAUGGCGACCCGCACCUGUGUGCCUAAGGACAUUGUUAGACUCCUCGUCUAGAAGGACCGUAAAUGGCGACCCGCACCUGUGUGCCUAAGGACAUUGUUAGACUCCUCGUCUAGAAGGACCGUAAAUGGCGACCCGCACCUGUGUGCCUAAGGACAUUGUUAGACUCCUCGUCUAGAAGGACCGUAAAUGGCGACCCGCACCUGUGUGCCUAAGGACAUUGUUAGACUCCUCGUCUAGAAGGACCGUAAAUGGCGACCAUCUUAGGUGCUGGAAAACUGGUGCACGACAAGUUGCGGAUCGUUCAGAUUUGUGGAACGGAGAACGUCUAUGAAAUUUGGCACAGUGAUAGAGUAUCUCGCACUGAGUAAUUCUGGAUAUGGACCCACCCUAAAAAUUGAAUACUUGCAGUUUUACAGGGGUGGUUUUCCUUUUCCUUAAUCCCUCAAUAAAACCGUUACUUCACAAGAUAGGGUCACAAAACCAAUUCAAAUCCCACUUAACCCCCCCUCCCUUUGUCCUUGAUGUAAUAAGGAAUUUUUCGAUGGUAUCAGUGCAGAUAAAUUGGGUUUUCUCUUCGGUUUCAGUCACAUUGUAGCUCAUUGUUGAAUCAGCGGCAAACAACAAGAUGCAGAUGCCACCGCUUUGAAAGCGCGGGCGAAGGAAAAGUAAAAAUGCUGUUAUUAAUGAGAUCAGACGGGGUGACCACGAUGUUUCAUUAUGGUUUACUGGGAAGAAAUCAUCGCUGCUCACGAAACCGGGCAUCUUCACGAGCGAAAAUCAUCGACCAAUAACGUGUUUGAAUAAUAUGUACAAGUGGUUUUCUUCGUGUCUCCCAUAACCAACAGAUGCGCAUAUGAACAAGUACGGUGCUAGAACUACUGAUAAUUUACAUAUCGAUAGGAUGGUAUGUCAGGACAGCCAACGUGCUAAACGUAAUCUCAGCAUGGCAUGGGUUGAUUUGAGAAAGGCCUAUAAUAGCGUGGACCACCGCUGGUUGGAGGAGAUGUUUUUUGCGCACCACUUCCCGCUCUGGCUUGGAAGGUGGAUUGGAAGGCUCAGCAGUUCGUGGAAUACUAAGAUUGCAGUGAAAACGGCACGAGGCAUGGAGGUAUCGGAGGCGAUCGUGUUUAGAAGGGGUCUUCCACAGGGCGACGCCCUUUGUCCGAGGCUCUUUACGCUGUGUGUGAACCCGAUCGCGUGGAUGCUGAGUGCAACUGAGGGUUAUAGGAUUUCAAAACCAAUAGGUCAGACCAUCACACACCUGCUCUACAUUGAUGACCUUAAGAUUUACGCUUCGUAUGAGAAGAAACUCGCAAGGGUGAUGAGGAAAGUGAGCAAUAGGGGACAUUGGUCUACUUUGGAAUGAGCGCAAGUGCUCAGUAGCUCAUGCGAGGAGGGGAAAGCUGGAGACGGAUACUGGAAGCAUGUGCAUUGGUGGAAGCAGAGGUUAUUUAGAGUCUAAUGAGGUGUCACAUUACAAGUUCCUGGGGGUGAUGGAAAAUCAAGCAGGAUGACAGUUUAGCUCUCGAGAUCGCUAGCUAGGCCUGCAUACAGCGAAUAUCAGUAACAUGGUCUUGUCCGCUGUCGGAUUUCAGCAAAGUGCUAACAACCAACCAGUUCGCCAUGCCGGUUUUGGGCAACUUAAUGUCAACUCAAUGCUGGCCCAUCGCCGAGUUGCAGAGACUAAGCAGUGAAACACGCAAAUCAAUCUUGGAGAAUGGAGGCAAGCACCCUCUCGGAUCGUCUACAGCACUACUGUACUUACCUAGGGGACUUGCUGGACGAGGGCGUAAGGGCGUCGAGCGAGAGUAUGCGCAAACAAAAAUUAAAGCUGCGGUUAGACUAUACACCAAUAGGGACCCACCCAUGGAAGUUUUGCGGAAGUUCGAGACGAGAGCUGAAGAGAAGGGGCGGCGGUCGCUGGUCAAAGAUGCAAAGAAAUAUGCGACUGAGCUCGGGUAUAGUUUGAACCUGUCUCAUCCCACACCGACGAUGGUAAACAACCAAACCAAGGAAGAGGUGCCAGCUAAGUAGAUCGGAGUGGAACUGAAGAAUAAAGAAGGAUUGUGCUAUGGUGAGAUCAGCAAGUUUGCUGAUCAGAAUGGAAGACUGCACCUACCAGCACCAUAGCGGGCCAACAUGAGCUAUAUAAACAGAUGCAAC